CGUAACCCAUCGACGAACUCAUUUCGUACGGCAGGAGCGGGGGACCCAGGUAAGUCAUCGCCGUACCGGUCGGCACACGUCGCACCGGAACGGCUGGGGUGAAGCCGUGCCUCCCCAGGGCACGGCCGGGCACCUCCCCGCCCGAACCCGACAGCUCACCUCGCAGGCGACGGAGAGGAACU
rnacentral:sRNA from 2 species